AACGAACGCUGGCGGCAGGCUUAACACAUGCAAGUCGAGCGCCCCGCAAGGGGAGCGGCAGACGGGUGAGUAACGCGUGGGAAUCUACCCAUCUCUACGGAAUAACGCAUGGAAACGUGUGCUAAUACCGUAUACGUCCUUCGGGAGAAAGAUUUAUCGGAGAUGGAUGAGCCCGCGUUGGAUUAGCUAGUUGGUGGGGUAAAGGCCUACCAAGGCGACGAUCCAUAGCUGGUCUGAGAGGAUGAUCAGCCACACUGGGACUGAGACACGGCCCAGACUCCUACGGGAGGCAGCAGUGGGGAAUAUUGGACAAUGGGCGCAAGCCUGAUCCAGCCAUGCCGCGUGAGUGAUGAAGGCCCUAGGGUUGGAAAGCUCUUUUACCGGUGAAGAUAAUGACGGUAACCGGAGAAGAAGCCCCGGCUAACUUCGUGCCAGCAGCCGCCGUAACAC
rnacentral:rRNA from 1 species